UACGUAGGGUGCGAGCGUUGUCCGGAAUUAUUGGGCGUAAAGAGCUUGUAGGCGGUCUGUCGCGUCUGCUGUGAAAAUCCGGGGCUCAACCCCGGACUUGCAGUGGGUACGGGCAGACUAGAGUGUGGUAGGGGAGACUGGAAUUCCUGGUGUAGCGGUGAAAUGCGCAGAUAUCAGGAGGAACACCGAUGGCGAAGGCAGGUCUCUGGGCCACUACUGACGCUGAGAAGCGAAAGCAUGGGUAGAGAACAGG
rnacentral:rRNA from 1 species